rnacentral:rRNA from 1 species
GACGAACGCUGGCGGCGUGCUUAACACAUGCAAGUCGAGCGGUAAGGCCCUUUCGGGGGUACACGAGCGGCGAACGGGUGAGUAACACGUGGGUGACCUGCCCUCAGCUCUGGGAUAAGCCCGGGAAACUGGGUCUAAUACCGGAUAUGACUCCAUGACGCAUGUUGUGGGGUGGAAAGCCUUGUGCGGCUGAGGAUGGGCCCGCGGCCUAUCAGCUUGUUGGUGGGGUGAUGGCCUACCAAGGCGACGACGGGUAGCCGGCCUGAGAGGGCGACCGGCCACACUGGGACUGAGACACGGCCCAGACUCCUACGGGAGGCAGCAGUGGGGAAUCUUGCGCAAUGGGCGAAAGCCUGACGCAGCGACGCCGCGUGAGGGAUGACGGCCUGGUGUA